ACAACCGGAGGCGAUUGACCGUUAUCUGCGGUUUGGAGCCGUUAGCGGGAGAGGCAGAGAUAUUCAGAGGUCUUUUAGGAUGCGCUAAAGGGUCGUGAGGGCUCUCUUAAAAUUUUCUUCACAAGCGGUUAUCCAGUCGUGCCCCGCGGCCCUGCUGCUGGCCCCGGGGAUCUGAGUCGUACCCUCUUGUUUUUCUCUGAGUCAGUCUUAAGGUGAAAUGAAGUGUGGCCCAGUGGCUCCUCACUGUCGCUUCUCUAGUUUUCUGCCUCCUUUUAGAAAAUUGAAUUGAAAAGACAGGAUGAAGUGGACACAGCAUGUGAAGACAAUUCUUUCAAGAAGUUUGGCUGUCAAGGAAAACAGAGAAUGUGAGUAGCCAAAGCAGAAUGACAGUGAAAGAAAGAAAUUGGGAGCCAGACAAUACAGCCCGACAGUUUACGCCUGUACGGAUGUACCUCUUUCACAAAAGAUUGAGUAUGCUUGGGGAAAAAAAAUACACACUAUAAUAGGAGAAAAUGAUGAAGAGAAACUGAGGUAAAGGUAAUUGGAAAACAAAAUAAAGCCAGGGGUAUAUUAAUACCCCAAAACUUCAUACCAAAA
rnacentral:lncRNA from 1 species